rnacentral:rRNA from 1 species
ACGUCGUGUGAAUUGCAGGGUUCAGCGAAACACGAAAUCCUCGAACGCAUCUUGCGCCCCCAAGCUCACUUGGGGGCGUGCUUGUUUGAGCGUCGUUUAUUAGUAAUCAACAUCAAAUUCCUUUUUGAUUAAUUUCAGAUUGGAAUUUUGCACGUUGGAAUUGAUUGUUCGGUCAUAGGGCUCGCGUUCUAGGCUGAUCUUUCGAAAUAUAGCAACCGAGGGUAGCAUGGUUCUCACGAAGAAAACGCCUCAAUUCAUGUCUUAAAGUUGUGAAGGUUCCUUUACGGACCCCUUUUUUGUUAGGAUAGAGGAUGUGUUCAUGUGAUUAUUCAAGGCUUUUCCUCCUGAAUCUCCUGAUAAAGGAGAGGCUGAUGUUGAUAGCAGCUGUUCUUUUGAACAAUUAUCAACAUUUAAAUAUUAAACUCGCGACCUCAAAUCAAGCAA